GGGUUGUGAGGUUAAGCGACUAAGCGUACACGGUGGAUGCCCUGGCAGUCAGAGGCGAUGAAGGACGUGCUAAUCUGCGAUAAGCGCCGGUAAGGUGAUAUGAACCGUUAUAACCGGCGAUUUCCGAAUGGGGAAACCCAGUGUGACUCGUCACACUAUCAUUAACUGAAUCCAUAGGUUAAUGAGGCGAACCGGGGGAACUGAAACAUCUAAGUACCCCGAGGAAAAGAAAUCAACCGAGAUUCCCCCAGUAGCGGCGAGCGAACGGGGAGGAGCCCAGAGCCUGAAUCAGCAUGUGUGUUAGUGGAAGCGUCUGGAAAGGCGCGCGAUACAGGGUGACAGCCCCGUACACAAAAGCGCAUAUGCUGUGAGCUCGAUGAGUAGGGCGGGACACGUGGUAUCCUGUCUGAAUAUGGGGGGACCAUCCUCCAAGGCUAAAUACUCCUGACUGACCGAUAGUGAACCAGUACCGUGAGGGAAAGGCGAAAAGAACCCCGGCGAGGGGAGUGAAAAAGAACCUGAAACCGUGUACGUACAAGCAGUGGGAGCCCCACCACUAAGCCAGUGGUGAACUCCACAUACGCAUCCUUUGCUGAGGAUACGGUUAACGGAGCGAAAGCGACGUUCAACCGCAAAAGAAGCAGAGGGGGCUUAGUGGUG
rnacentral:rRNA from 1 species